rnacentral:rRNA from 1 species
GAUCAUGGCUCAGAUUGAACGCUGGCGGCAUGCCUUACACAUGCAAGUCGAACGGUAACAGGUCUUCGGACGCUGACGAGUGGCGAACGGGUGAGUAAUACAUCGGAACGUGCCCAGUCGUGGGGGAGUAACUACUCGAAAGAGUAGCUAAUACCGCAUACGAUCUGAGGAUGAAAGCGGGGGACCUUCGGGCCUCGCGCGAUUGGAGCGGCCGAUGGCAGAUUAGGUAGUUGGUGGGGUAAAAG